UAGGGGGCGAGCGUUAUCCGGAUUUACUGGGUGUAAAGGGAGCGUAGACGGUUAGUCAAGUCUGAAGUGAAAGCCCGCGGCUCAACUGCGGAACGGCUUUGGAAACUGAGAAACUGGAGUGCUGGAGGGGCAGGCGGAAUUCCUGGUGUAGCGGAGAAAUGCGUAGAUAUCAGGAGGAACACCGGUGGCGAAGGCGGCCUGCUGGACAGUAACUGACGUUGAGGCUCGAAAGCGUGGGGAGCAAA
rnacentral:rRNA from 1 species